rnacentral:lncRNA from 1 species
UUGUGUCUUCCUUCAUAAGGGAAGACCAGGAGAAAUGGAAAAGAGGUAUGAAAUGGAAAUCAGAGGCCACUGACUUCCUUGGCAUUUAAACACCUGCUCUGGGCCUUACAUGACCUUGUAUGUACCUGCUUCCCUCAAAGCAAGAAGUAGCAGCUUCAAGAAUGCCAUUACGCAGGCUCUCCUGGAGCAGAGGGGGAUCGAAUUCGGGACCUUGCGGUUGCAGAACCACUGAACUAAAUCCCUGGCUGUGCCUUCUAAAAGAUAAAAAGCAGAAGAAUGCCUCCUCUCAGAUCAAAGUCAGCCAAAUCUCUCAAAAUCAGAGGCAGAAACAACUUAUAUCCUGUGACUCCUGAGGAUGAGUGCAGCGAGAACGGAGGGAAUUCAGCAGGCAGAGGAGGAGAGGGAGACCUCAAACACUUGGCGCAAGAUUCUUCUGGAAUCUAAACUGUCAAUCUUGUUGAGUGCAGGAAAUGCCACAUAUUUAAAUACCUAUACUGGAAUGAGACCAAACUUCAAAAAUCCCUAGGAAGAGCACCAUAUAGUGAAAGCUUUAUGCGAUGGUGAAGAGAAAAGCUGUGGAUUAUCAAGACAUCAGAGAUGGAGGGAAAAUGCCACCACGGGGUAAAAACCCCACCAGAACGGGAUGAAGGUCUGACUUCUCAGCUACCCUCUGCUUAGCACAAGCAGUAGAGGCAGAAGGGGCACACACUUGCACUUCCACCAGGAACCCCACUCAGACUUCUCAGCAGUUGGCCACCCCGGGCUACUUCUGCUCCUGGGAACCCCAAAGCUGCCCUGAUCUUUUGCAUUAGUCCUAUCCAAGAGAUUGAUUUUUCUCUUUGAUCUGAACCCAUCUUCUUUUAUCUUUGGGGGAGUUCGUCCUGAAUUCAGGGCCAGUCAGAGCAUUUCUUCUCCCAUUGACACACCAAUAUGUAUAAACAAUAUGCAUACAUUUUUCAAUCCUAUAUCCUGCACAUGCAGAACUUGGAAGGCAGAUUCAGGAAACAGGUUCAGUUCUCCUCUCCCAGUUGACUUUUAAGCACAUGCUAUCAAACCUUCCCCCGACCCUGGAACAGUGUCUUAGGCUCUUCAUUGACUCUGGGCCAGUCCAGUGACUUAUCUGAACCCAGCCUUCCAGGUAGAGGAAUGGCAUCUCUCACAAGUCUUUGGUUCCUGACGUCCAAAGAAGACCUUCGCAUCUUUGGCCAUGUUGAUCGAGCCUUUCUGCUGUCCAUUCCAGAAACAAACAUUAAAGUAGAGAAGUGUUGGGGAAGAAGCAAAAUGAAUGAUUGGCUUCCCAGUGGGUUCCAGUACUCUGUCUCUCCGUGUUGCCUCUGUGCAGUACCACUGAGAAAGCAAGGAUAACUUUUGUCUCUAGGACAAAGCCCUGUGCAGAUGUGUGCAGUAAAUAAAAUGUGCCUCAGUCUCCUUCUACCCAAGGCAUCCUGGAAUUAAGAUGCACCCCUCACAUGAACCCAUGAGGAUUGUACUGGGGAGUAUUACAUCACAGAAGAGCAUCACAUGACAACCCACAACCAGAUUUAAAUCCCAGCCCUGUCUCAACCCUUUUCAGAAAACUACUAGCAUCUACUAAUGUCAAUGUGAAUGCAUAUACAUUAAAACAACCACGUGUAUAUGUAAGUGUUCUUAAUGUGCUUAUUCAUAUUUCCCAAACCAGGAGCAAUCCAAAUAUAAACCAAAGACACAAUAUAUAAAUAUAUUGUUCCACAUUCAUAUUAUGGAAUAUUGUACAGCAAUUAUAGAGAAUGAAUUGUUUAUUGCUAUACCUAGCAACAUAGAGGAAUUCCACAGCUUUAAUAUCAGGUGAAAGUUGUCAGACACAAAGGAACACAUACUGUAUAAUGCCAUUUAGACAAAACUUUAAGACAGACCAAAAUAAUCCAUGGUGGUAGCCAUCAGAAGUUAUGUUUGGUGGGAGUAUUUCCGGGAAGGUGAGGGAACUUUCUGGGGUUCUGGGAAUGUUCUG